rnacentral:piRNA from 1 species
UGCAAAUAAGCCUUACAGGUAUGGUGGGCA